GGGGAGUUGAUGAUGAGAUGAUGAUUGCAUAGUUCAGCAGAUAAUGAUGAAGACAAUGAGUUUCGUCUUUCGCUCUUAUCUGACUUGACCUCUC